AUGCUUCAAAUGUCCUACUGCUGGUUGGUAACUUCAAAUAUCUUACCCUCAACCCUGAAGUCUACAGCCCCCUACAGCCCCCUAAAGGAGCCCCUCCAGCGCCGGGAGGCAUGGGUGAGCCCAGUGUCAGGACCCCCAGGCCACAGGACAGGCGAGCUCCACCGUACCGGGCGGCAGGCAUUGGGGCCACCAGGUGCUGGACACAGAGACGAGGGCCAAGGACGAGGACAGGGCCCAGAGGGCCCAGGAGCAGCUCACCACCCAGCCGGGGCCUCGUCUCGGCAGGUCAGCCCCGGUGCCCGACCCAAGCAGUCCAAAGACCACGACAAGUUCAAAAGUUCCCAACCUGGGAAGGAAUGAGGAAGAGCGACCAGUCACCUUCAUUCAGGACAUGUGAGUAACAGCUACAGUAAAAUCCUGUGCGUCAAACAUCAGCAGGUUGUUCGGGGGGGGAAGCCCAGCCGCACUGUCUACAUUAGCAGCAACAGACCGUUGUGAUGAUGAAGCAUCGUGACUCCUUUUAUGUCAGACCAAGUCUCGUGUAAUGGCCCCCUCAUUAGUGGAGAGCAUAAACAGGAGAAAACACUACACGCAGACAUGAUGGGACUAUCCCUAAAGCAAGCGUUUGUUGUGGCUUUUUUACAAACCACAGGUUCAUAUGUGUGUUUUCCGGAUGCUCAUGUCACUGUGUGCUCUCUGCAGCAGGGAUUCAGAUGCAGCAAAGAUUUUAUAUCCUGUAUUCAAAGAAGAAAAAGUGUAUAGGAUUUGGAUUAGCAGUAGUGCUCCACGCAUUUAGAAGUUGUCAAAUUAGACAGAUUCAGUCAUCAAAAGGGCAUUCUGAUUGUAUGACGUACACAACAAUUUGCCAGUGUGGAAGCUAUACAAUAUUUAACAAAAGCAACCAAAAAAGGGGCAAAUAUGAAAGUUUAUUUCAGCUUUAAUCUGCAAUAUAUUACAUAGUUAAGAGGUUUUAGAAAAAGCUUUUAAAAAGCUGCUCCACGAGGACCUUUAAAUCAGCUUAUAAGAAAAAUUUACUACUUUAUUGAUCAAAUUGUGUGUUGCACUGUAUUGUAACUUGGAGGAAGGCACUAGGUACCGUGUUUCUUAGACUAUAAGUUGCUCCAGAGAAUAAGACACAGCAGACAAAAAAAUAAAUAUUUAUCACAUGUCAGAACUCUGUCUCUCUCUCUGGUCACCAGGUACCAUCUCCAGAGUUCUGACCACACUACAACCCCCAGAAACCCCAGGACAUACUUCCUGGAGGCCGCACACCUGACUUUCAUUCACUCAAUCAAUGGAUCACAGUACUCUUAAGCACUGCACUGAGCAUCACUCAGUGUGAAGUAUUGUUUGUGCCGCUCUGCCUUCUUUACUGGGCAUCAUAUCCAGGCCUGAUCUUCUGCUUUCCAGACCCUGUUCUGUUUUUGACUCAGUUUGCUUGCCGCCUGUCCCGCCAGAACCCAGACUUCUCCUGUUUCUCCUCUGAUGCUCCUAUGCCCGUUGUUGACUCCUGCCUGCCUGACCCAGAUUUAGCUUUGUGAACUUUUAGUUGAGCUAAUAGACCUGCUGCAUUUGGAUCCAGCCGUCUGCCUGUUCUUGUGAAAAUAAUAAAGAAAAAUAAUAAUAUAUAAGUUGGACACAAGAUAAAUUUAUUUCACAAAAUAAUGGAACAAGAACGAAUCUUGAACUUGAACUAAAGCAACUUGUUGCUUUAUGCUGCUUCAUGGUUUUACCCCCCCCCCUUCUAUAAUCACCCUCCUACCCCCCCUCUCUCUAUCAUCCCUCUCUCUUCUUCCCUCCUUUCCUUUUCUGUCCAGUCAAAC
rnacentral:lncRNA from 1 species